GAAAUAUAAGAACCCGUCUCUUAACUUUUAACUAAAAAAGUUAAGACCCGGUUCUUAGCUUUUUUAGUUAAAAGUUAAGAGACGAGUUCUUAUAUUUC
rfam:Brassica rapa chromosome A8, whole genome shotgun sequence.